CUACGGGUCGCACCAGUAGGGAAUUUUCGGCAAUGGGCGCAAGCCUGACCGAGCAACGCCGCGUGAGUGAUUAAGGCCUUCGGGUUGUAAAGCUCUGUUGUAAAGGAAGAACGAUCAGUAUAGGAAAUGAUACUGAUGUGACGGUACUUUACCAGAAAGCCACGGCUAACUACGUGCCGAGCAGCCGCGGUAAUACGUAGGUGGGCAAGCGUUAUCCGGAAUUAUUGGGCGUAAAGGGAGCGUAGGGGGUUUAUUAAGUCUAUGGUGAAAGUGCGGGGCUCAACCCCGUAUGGCCAUAGAAACUGAUAGACUAGAGUGCAGAAGAGGGUAGUGGAAUUCCAUGUGUAGCGGUAAAAUGCGUAGAUAUAUGGAGGAACACCGGUGGCGAAGGCGGCUACCUGGUCUGUUACUGACGCUGAGGCUCGAAAGCGUGGGGAGCAAAUAGGAUUAGAUACCCUCGUAGUC
rnacentral:rRNA from 1 species